rnacentral:rRNA from 1 species
AUUGAACGCUGGCGGCAGGCCUAACACAUGCAAGUCGAGCGGAUGAAGGGAGCUUGCUCCUGGAUUCAGCGGCGGACGGGUGAGUAAUGCCUAGGAAUCUGCCUGGUAGUGGGGGAUAACGUCCGGAAACGGGCGCUAAUACCGCAUACGUCCUGAGGGAGAAAGUGGGGGAUCUUCGGACCUCACGCUAUCAGAUGAGCCUAGGUCGGAUUAGCUAGUUUGUGGGGUAAAGGCCUACCAAGGCGACGAUCCGUAACUGGUCUGAGAGGAUGAUCAGUCACACUGGAACCGAGACACGGUCCAGACUCCUACGGGAGGCAGCAGUGGGGAAUAUUGGACAAUGGGCGAAAGCCUGAUCCAGCCAUGCCGCGUGUGUGAAGAAGGUCUUCGGAUUGUAAAGCACUUUAAGUUGGGAGGAAGGGCAGUAAGUUAAUACCUUGCUGUUUUGACGUUACCAACAGAAUAAGCACCGGCUAACUUCGUG